rnacentral:rRNA from 1 species
UACGAAGGGUGCAAACGUUGCUCGGAAUCAUUGGGCGUAAAGCGCACGUAGGCGGCCUGUUAAGUCGGAUGUGAAAUCCCUCGGCUCAACCGAGGACGUGCAUCCGAAACUGGCGGGCUCGAGUACUGAAGAGGGUCGCGGAAUUCCCGGUGUAGAGGUGAAAUUCGUAGAUAUCGGGAGGAACACCAGUGGCGAAGGCGGCGACCUGGGCAGAUACUGACGCUGAGGUGCGAAAGCGUGGGGAGCAAACGGG